AGUCGAGCGAACAGAUAAGGAGCUUGCUCCUUUGAAGUUAGCGGCGGACGGGUGAGUAACACGUGGGUAACCUACCUAUAAGACUGGGAUAACUUCGGGAAACCGGAGCUAAUACCGGAUAACAUUUAAAACCGCAUGGUUCUAAAGUGAAAGAUGGUUUUGCUAUCACUUAUAGAUGGACCCGCGCCGUAUUAGCUAGUUGGUAAGGUAACGGCUUACCAAGGCGACGAUACGUAGCCGACCUGAGAGGGUGAUCGGCCACACUGGAACUGAGACACGGUCCAAACUCCUACGGGAGGCAGCAGUAGGGAAUCUUCCGCAAUGGGCGAAAGCCUGACGGAGCAACGCCGCGUGAGUGAUGAAGGGUUUCGGCUCGUAAAACUCUGUUAUUAGGGAAGAACAAAUGUGUAAGUAACUGUGCACAUCUUGACGGUACCUAAUCAGAAAGCCACGGCUAACUACGUGCCAGCAGCCGCGGUAAUACGUAGGUGGCAAGCGUUAUCCGGAAUUAUUGGGCGUAAAGCGCGCGUAGGCGGUUUCUUAAGUCUGAUGUGAAAGCCCACGGCUCAACCGUGGAGGGUCAUUGGAAACUGGGAAACUUGAGUGCAGAAGAGGAGAGUGGAAUUCCAUGUGUAGCGGUGAAAUGCGCAGAGAUAUGGAGGAACACCAGUGGCGAAGGCGACUUUCUGGUCUGUAACUGACGCUGAUGUGCGAAAGCGUGGGGAUCAAACAGGAUUAGAUACCCUGGUAGUCCACGCCGUAAACGAUGAGUGCUAAGUGUUAGGGGGUUUCCGCCCCUUAGUGCUGCAGCUAACGCAUUAAGCACUCCGCCUGGGGAGUACGACCGCAAGGUUGAAACUCAAAGGAAUUGACGGGGACCCGCACAAGCGGUGGAGCAUGUGGUUUAAUUCGAAGCAACGCGAAGAACCUUACCAAAUCUUGACAUCCUUUGAAAACUCUAGAGAUAGAGCCUUCCCCUUCGGGGGACAAAGUGACAGGUGGUGCAUGGUUGUUGUCAGCUCGUGUCGUGAGAUGUUGGGUUAAGUCCCGCAACGAGCGCAACCCUUAAGUUUAGUUGCCAUCAUUAAGUUGGGCACUUUAGGUUGACUGCCGGUGACAAACCGGAGGAAGGUGGGGAUGACGUCAAAUCAUCAUGCCCCUUAUGAUUUGGGCUACACACGUGCUACAAUGGACAAUACAAAGGGCAGCUAAACCGCGAGGUCAUGCAAAUCCCAUAAAGUUGUUUUCAGUUCGGAUUGUAGUUUGCAACUUGACUACAUGAAGCUGGAAUCGCUAGUAAUCGUAGAUCAGCAUGGUACGGUGAAUACGUUCCCGGGUCUUGUACACACCGCCCGUCACACCACGAGAGUUUGUAACACCCGAAGCCGGUGGAGUAACCAUUUAUGAGCUAGCCGUCGAAG
rnacentral:rRNA from 1 species